UACGUAGGGGGCUAGCGUUGCUCGGAAUCACUGGGCGUAAAGCGCACGUAGGCGGAUCGUUAAGUCAGGGGUGAAAUCCUGGAGCUCAACUCCAGAACUGCCUUUGAUACUGGCGACCUUGAGUUCGGGAGAGGUGAGUGGAACUGCGAGUGUAGAGGUGAAAUUCGUAGAUAUUCGCAAGAACACCAGUGGCGAAGGCGGCUCACUGGCCCGAUACUGACGCUGAGGUGCGAAAGCGUGGGGAGCAAACAGG
rnacentral:rRNA from 1 species